rnacentral:tRNA from 1 species
UCGGAUAUGGUGUAACGGCUAACAUUGCCGCCUCUCAUUGUUCUGCGCGGUAACUCGGGGUUCGAUUCCCCGUAUCCGAA